GACGAACGCCGUCGGCGUGCUUAACACAUGCAAGUCGAACGGAAAGGCCCUGCUUUUGUGGGGUGCUCGAGUGGCGAACGGGUGAGUAACACGUGAGUAACCUGCCCUUGACUUUGGGAUAACUUCAGGAAACUGGGGCUAAUACCGGAUAGGAGCUCCUGCUGCAUGGUGGGGGUUGGAAAGUUUCGGCGGUUGGGGAUGGACUCGCGGCUUAUCAGCUUGUUGGUGGGGUAGUGGCUUACCAAGGCUUUGACGGGUAGCCGGCCUGAGAGGGUGACCGGCCACAUUGGGACUGAGAUACGGCCCAGACUCCUACGGGAGGCAGCAGUGGGGAAUAUUGCACAAUGGGCGGAAGCCUGAUGCAGCAACGCCGCGUGCGGGAUGACGGCCUUCGGGUUGUAAACCGCUUUCGCCUGUGACGAAGCGUGAGUGACGGUAAUGGGUAAAGAAGCACCGGCUAACUACGUGCCAGCAGCCGCGGUGAUACGUAGGGUGCGAGCGUUGUCCGGAUUUAUUGGGCGUAAAGGGCUCGUAGGUGGUUGAUCGCGUCGGAAGUGUAAUCUUGGGGCUUAACCCUGAGCGUGCUUUCGAUACGGGUUGACUUGAGGAAGGUAGGGGAGAAUGGAAUUCCUGGUGGAGCGGUGGAAUGCGCAGAUAUCAGGAGGAACACCAGUGGCGAAGGCGGUUCUCUGGGCCUUUCCUGACGCUGAGGAGCGAAAGCGUGGGGAGCGAACAGGCUUAGAUACCCUGGUAGUCCACGCUGUAAACGGUGGGUACUAGGUGUGGGGUCCAUUCCACGGGUUCCGUGCCGUAGCUAACGCUUUAAGUACCCCGCCUGGGGAGUACGGCCGCAAGGCUAAAACUCAAAGGAAUUGACGGGGCCCCGCACAAGCGGCGGAGCAUGCGGAUUAAUUCGAUGCAACGCGUAGAACCUUACCUGGGUUUGACAUGGAUCGGGAGUGCUCAGAGAUGGGUGUGCCUCUUUUGGGGUCGGUUCACAGGUGGUGCAUGCCUGUCGUCAGCUCGUGUCGUGAGAUGUUGGGUUAAGUCCCGCAACGAGCGCAACCCUUGUUCACUGUUGCCAGCACGUUAUGGUGGGGACUCAGUGGAGACCGCCGGGGUCAACUCGGAGGAAGGUGGGGAUGACGUCAAGUCAUCAUGCCCCUUAUGUCCAGGGCUUCACGCAUGCUACAAUGGCUGGUACAGAGAGUGGCGAGCCUGUGAGGGUGAGCGAAUCUCGGAAAGCCGGUCUCAGUUCGGAUUGGGGUCUGCAACUCGACCUCAUGAAGUCGGAGUCGCUAGUAAUCGCAGAUCAGCAACGCUGCGGUGAAUACGUUCCCGGGGCU
rnacentral:rRNA from 1 species